CCUACGGGGCGCAGCAGUGAGGAAUAUUGGUCAAUGGGCGGGAGCCUGAACCAGCCAAGCCGCGUGAGGGAAGACGGUCCUAUGGAUUGUAAACCUCUUUAGGCGGGGAGCAAUGCCGGGCACGCGUGCCCGGAGGGAGAGUACCCGCAGAAUAAGCAUCGGCUAACUACGUGCCAGCAGCCGCGGUAAUACGUAUGGUGCAAGCGUUAUCCGGAUUUACUGGGCGUAAAGGGAGCGCAGGCGGCGCGCCAAGUCUGAUGUGAAACCCCGGGGCUCAACCCCGGGCAUGCAUUGGAAACUGGCGG
rnacentral:rRNA from 1 species